GGAUGCACAGGGUAUGCUGGGUAUGCACCCGCAUACCCUGCAAAAUCAGUGAAUAUUUACAUAUUAUAUAAUAGUAUUGUUGUAUGUAGAAACUAAAAUGGAAAAAGAAAGAAAAAUAUAUCUGGACUGGACGAGACGACGAGUGGACGCUAAGGCCCAUCACCCAUGACACAGCAGAGAGCACGCCGCUCCUUGGUCUGGCCCGUCGCGCGCAGGUCCGUACAUAGCCCAAUUAGUGAAACGUAAUUAGCUUCUGCUUGCUACCCGCUGCAGAUCCGUAGCCCACCGCGCGCGCCGGAAACUGAGAGUCUGAGAGCCGCCCUAGUGCCCUGCCGCCGCCACCCUUCAGUUCUUCGUCUACUGGUUCUCAAAUUGGUAUUGCUUUUACCGGUGGCAACUGCGAGUGUUGAAAGGGUAUUUUCUGCAUUGGUUAUAGUGAAAUCAAAAUCAAGAAAUAAGCUAG